rnacentral:rRNA from 1 species
GACGAACGCUGGCGGCGUGCCUAAUACAUGCAAGUAGAACGCUGAAGGAGGAGCUUGCUUCUCUGGAUGAGUUGCGAACGGGUGAGUAACGCGUAGGUAACCUGCCUGGUAGCGGGGGAUAACUAUUGGAAACGAUAGCUAAUACCGCAUAAUAGCAGUUGUUGCAUGACAACUGUUUGAAAGGUGCAAUUGCACCACUACCAGAUGGACCUGCGUUGUAUUAGCUAGUUGGUGGGGUAACGGCUCACCAAGGCGACGAUACAUAGCCGACCUGAGAGGGUGAGCGGCCACACUGGGACUGAGACACGGCCCAGACUCCUACGGGAGGCAGCAGUAGGGAAUCUUCGGCAAUGGACGGAAGUCUGACCGAGCAACGCCGCGUGAGUGAAGAAGGGUUUCGGAUCGUAAAGCUCGGUUGUAAGAGAAGAACGAGUGUGAGAGUGGAAAGUUCACACUGUGACGGUAUCUUACCAGAAAGGGACGGCUAACUACGUG